rnacentral:rRNA from 1 species
GAUGAACGCUGGCGGCGUGCCUAAUACAUGCAAGUCGAGCGAACAGACGAGAAGCUUGCUCCUCUGAUGUUAGCGGCGGACGGGUGAGUAACACGUGGAUAACCUACCUAUAAGACUGGGAUAACUUCGGGAAACCGGAGCUAAUACCGGAUGAUAUUUUGAACCGCAUGGUUCAAAAGUGAAAGACGGUCUUGCUGUCACUUAUAGAUGGAUCCGCGCUGCAUUAGCUAGUUGGUAAAGUAACGGCUUACCAAGGCAACGAUGCGUAGCCGACCUGAGAGGGUGAUCGGCCACACUGGAACUGAGACACGGUCCAGACUCCUACGGGAGGCAGCAGUAGGGAAUCUUCCGCAAUGGGCGAAAGCCUGACGGAGCAACGCCGCGUGAGUGAUGAAGGUCUUCGGAUCGUAAAACUCUGUUAUUAGGGAAGAACAUAUGUGUAAGUAACUGUGCACAUCUUGACGGUACCUAAUCAGAAAGCCACGGCUAACUACGUG